UAUAACUGCGUUUCAGCAUCGGCCAAUAUUUUAUCAAAAUCAACAGCCUAAAUUUAUCGUCCAAAGGCAUCUACUUUUGGAUUUCAUCUGGAACUAUCAUCGAUCUUUGAUACGCCUAUUCAGUGUACCAGAUUUUACCAUACAUUUUGGAAGGAAUCGAUCUGUAAUCAAUUGAUCCACAGGUAACUGUUCAGAGUACGUCCGACAUACUGCAUGCCAGUACUAAACCAAAAGGUAAU